GGAUCUGGUGUUGCUGUGGCUGUGGUGUCGGCCACAGCUGUAGCUCCAUUUGACCUCUAGCCUGGGAACCUCUAUAUGCUGCAAGUUCAGCCUUAAAAAAAAACAAACAACCCCCCCCCAAAAAAAAAGUGGGGAUGAGCCAGUAGCUGAAUUGCUGGGCCUGCCCUCCCGUGGGCAGGAGUUUGGCCCUUGCUCUGUAACGUGGGUCCCUGUGUUUCUACGCAGGCCUGGCCUAGCGUUAGGAGCUCCAGCCUGGAGCCAGACAACCUGGGUUUGCAUCUGGAUCUGCCUCUCAUUGGCUGUGUGCCCUUGGGGAAGACGCUUAACCUCUCUGUGCUGUCGUUUCCUCUGCUAUAGAAGGAGAAGUAAUAAUAGCACCUGUCUUGUGCUAGGGAGCUAGUGCCGUGUCACAAACCUCCCCUCUGUACUUCCUAAGGGUGUCGGCCUAAGUGGUUGAUGUGUGUAAAUUGUGCCCAGCACACGGAGAUGCCCUACUAACCAUUAGCUCUCCCCGAGCUGGUCCCCGAGAAAUCCUUCACAUCUAAAAUGAUCCAGGGGGUCUCUGCUGUGGCUUAGUGGGUUACGACUCCGACUGCAGCAGCUAAGCUCGCUGCAGAGGCGUGGGUUCCGUUCCUGGCCUGGCGCAGUGGAUUAAAGGAUCCAGUGUUGGUUUCGAUUCAACCCCUGGCCGGGAAACUCCCAUAUGCCGUGGGUACAGCCCUUAAAAAUAAAUACGUACAAAUAAAGUGACACGGGGUGCUGGCGGAGAGUGUGUGGAGGGGAUCAGAGGGUCUGGGGUCGUAGCCGCUUCCUCCCUGCCCAGCCUCUGGUGUUCAGUGACCCUUGACCUUUGAAGCCCGUUCCCUCCCUUUCUGCCUGCAUCCUGGCCUCCAGACCCCAUCGCGUGCUGGGCUGCCUCUCACCUGCCCUGUCACCUGUGUGGCUGUGUUCAGGGGUCCUGGGACCACAGGGCGGGGGGUACCCUGGAGGAGCAGGAAGAAUCCAGGGGCAGACCUUCCUGGGGCCUCUGCCUCCCCGGUUCCACGAGGACGGGCUGGACCGGCUCUUCCCGGGACCGUCGCGCCAGGGUCACGGGCUCAGCGACUCAGAUCUGGGGGCAGGUGAGCUGCCCUUCCGAGCCCGUGGGAAGACCUGGUCUAUGGCCUCAUGUCAGAGGACCUCCGGCCAGGGAAUGUCUCUUUCGUCCUCUGCUCCCAUCCCCUCCCUGCCACGCUGUCGUCGAGAACAGAGACGGCACUUGCCUGUCUGCUGACAGCUCUGGAAGGACAGUGGGGUAGCGCUCGGCUUGGGGUGCUGGGGACACGACACGUCAUCUGUGCUGCGGCAAACAGUGUCUCCCAAGAUUCAUGCCCACCUGGGACCUUGGAAUGUGACCUUAGUUGGAAAUAAGCCGUUGGCCAAGGAUGCUGAGAUGCAGCGUCCUUGUGUGGGUGGGUCCUCGCUCUGGUGCCUGGUGACCUGAUGCCUGGGGAAGAUGCCACGCAAAGGCGGAGGCAGAGGCUGGAGGGAGGUGGCCAUGAGUCAAAGAUGCCUGGAGCCCUGGGAGGUGGAGGAGCCAAGGAAGGGACCUCCCCAGAGCCCCGGGGGCAGUGAGCCCCGCCAUCACCUGAUUUCAGACUUGCAGUCGGUGGCUAGGACUGUAGGAGAAUCUAUUCACUUGUUUUAAGCCCCACCCCUGCCUCCGGAUUGUAGUCAUUUGUUAUUACAGCCCCAGGACAGUAACACACCAUCAGCCCUGCCCUCGUAUGUAUUUUAAAAUAUAAUAAGAAUACCACUUAUGGGAGUUCCCGUUGUGGCUUAGUGGUUAUCGAAUCCAACUAGGAACCAUGAGGUUGCGGGUUCGAUCCCUGGCCUCGCUCAGUAGGUUAAGGAUCCGGCGUUGCCCUGAGCUGUGGUGUAGGUUGCAGACGCGCUUGGAUCCCGCGUUGCUGUGGCUCUGGCGUAGGCGGGUGGCUACAUCUCUGAUUGGACCCCUAGCCUGGGAACCUCCAUAUGCCGCGGGAGCAGCCCUAGAAAU
rnacentral:lncRNA from 1 species